rnacentral:rRNA from 1 species
UACGGAGGAGGCAAGCGUUAUCCGGAAUUAUUGGGCGUAAAGCGUCCGUAGAUGGUUUUGUCAGUCUGCUGUCAAAGCGCAGGGCUUAACCCUGUAAAGGCAGUGGAAACUACAAGACUAGAGUGCAGUAGGGGCAGAGGGAAUUCCCAGUGUAGCGGUGAAAUGCGUAGAGAUUGGGAAGAACACCCGUGGCGAAAGCGCUCUGCUGGACUGCAACUGACAUUGAGGGACGAAAGCUAGGGGAGCGAAUGGG